rnacentral:rRNA from 1 species
AACUUAAAGGAAUUGACGGGACCCCGCACAAGCGGUGGAUCAUGUUGUUUAAUUCGAUGAUACGCGAAGAACCUUACCAGGUCUUGACAUCCCCCGCGAUGCUUUAGAGAUAAAGCGGAGGUAUUCGGGGAGACAGGUGGUGCAUGGUUGUCGUCAGCUCGUGUCGUGAGAUGUUGGGUUAAGUCCCGCAACGAGCGCAACCCCUAUUGCUAGUUACCAUCAUUAAGUUGGGGACUCUAGCGAGACUGCCAGUGAUAAACUGGAGGAAGGUGGGGAUGACGUCAAAUCAUCAUGCCCCUUAUGACCUGGGCUACAAACGUGAUACAAUGGCUGGAACAAAGGGAUGCGAAGCAGUGAUGUGGAGCGAAACCCAUAAAAACAGUCUCAGUUCGGAUUGAAGUCUGCAACUCGACUUCAUGAAGUCGGAAUCGCUAGUAAUCGCGGAUCAGAACGCCGCGGUGAAUACGUUCUCGGGGUUU